GAUGAACGCUGGCGGCGUGCCUAAUACAUGCAAGUCGAGCGAACAGACGAGGAGCUUGCUCCUCUGACGUUAGCGGCGGACGGGUGAGUAACACGUGGAUAACCUACCUAUAAGACUGGGAUAACUUCGGGAAACCGGAGCUAAUACCGGAUAAUAUAUUGAACCGCAUGGUUCAAUAGUGAAAGUCGGUUUUGCUGUCACUUAUAGAUGGAUCCGCGCCGCAUUAGCUAGUUGGUAAGGUAACGGCUUACCAAGGCAACGAUGCGUAGCCGACCGGAGAGGGGGAUCGGCCACACUGGAACUGAGACACGGUCCAGACUCCUACGGGAGGCAGCAGUAGAGAAUCUUCCGCAAUGGGCGAAAGCCUGACGGAGCAACGCCGCGUGAGUGAUGAAGGUCUUCGGAUCGUAAAACUCUGUUAUUAGGGAAGAACAAAUGUGUAAGUAACUAUGCACGUCUUGACGGUACCGAAUCAGAAAGCCACGGCUAACUACGUG
rnacentral:rRNA from 1 species